UUAGGUGUAGUUCAGUGAUAGAAGCUGUGUUUAGCAUGCAUGAGACUCUGGGUUUGAUUCCCAGCACCAAAU
rnacentral:tRNA from 1 species